CGGAUACAAUGAUGACUUCAUAGUUCAUCAGACUGACAGUGAUGAACCUUCUUUCGCUCCUAUCUGAUGUAUCUG